rnacentral:rRNA from 1 species
UACGUAGGUGGCGAGCGUUGUCCGGAUUUACUGGGCGUAAAGGGCGUGCAGGCGGUUUGUUAAGUGCAGGGUGAAAGCUCCCGGCUCAACUGGGAGAGGUCCUUGCAUACUGGCGAACUCGAGGGAGGCAGAGGAAAGUGGAAUUCCCGGUGUAGUGGUGAUAUGCGUAGAUAUCGGGAGGAACACCUGUGGCGAAGGCGGCUGACUGGUCCGGUUCUGACGCUGAGGCGCGAAAGCGUGGGGAGCAAACAGG